rnacentral:rRNA from 1 species
UAAGACUGGAAUAACUCCGGGAAACCGGGGCUAAUGCCGGAUAACAUGUUGAACCGCAUGGUUCUACAGUGAAAGACGGUCUUGCUGUCACUUAUAGAUGGACCCGCGCCGUAUUAGCUAGUUGGUGGGGUAACGGCCUACCAAGGCGACGAUACGUAGCCGACCUGAGAGGGUGAUCGGCCACACUGGAACUGAGACACGGUCCAGACUCCUACGGGAGGCAGCAGUAGGGAAUCUUCCGCAAUGGGCGAAAGCCUGACGGAGCAACGCCGCGUGAGUGAUGAAGGUCUUCGGAUCGUAAAGCUCUGUUGUUAGGGAAGAACAAAUGUGUAAGUAACUGUGCACAUCUUGACGGUACCUAACCAGAAAGCCACGGCUAACUACGUGCCAGCAGCCGCGGUAAUACGUAGGUGGCAAGCGUUAUCCGGAAUUAUUGGGCGUAAAGCGCGCGUAGGCGGUUUUUUAAGUCUGAUGUGAAAGCCCACGGCUCAACCGUGGAGGGUCAUUGGAAACUGGAAAACUUGAGUGCAGAAGAGGAAAGUGGAAUUCCAUGUGUAGCGGUGAAAUGCGCAGAGAUAUGGAGGAACACCAGUGGCGAAGGCGGCUUUCUGGUCUGCAACUGACGCUGAUGUGCGAAAGCGUGGGGAUCAAACAGGAUUAGAUACCCUGGUAGUCCACGCCGUAAACGAUGAGUGCUAAGUGUUAGGGGGUUUCCGCCCCUUAGUGCUGCAGCUAACGCAUUAAGCACUCCGCCUGGGGAGUACGGUCGCAAGACUGAAACUCAAAGGAAUUGACGGGGACCCGCACAAGCGGUGGAGCAUGUGGUUUAAUUCGAAGCAACGCGAAGAACCUUACCAAAUCUUGACAUCCUUUGACCGCUCUAGAGAUAGAGUUUUCCUCUUCGGAGGACAAAGUGACAGGUGGUGCAUGGUUGUCGUCAGCUCGUGUCGUGAGAUGUUGGGUUAAGUCC